AUUGAACGCUGGCGGCAGGCCUAACACGUGCAAGUCGAGCGGAUGAGGGGAGCUUGCUCCUUGAUUCAGCGGCGGACGGGUGAGUAAUGCCUAGGAAUCUGCCUGGUAGUGGGGGAUAACGUUCCGAAAGGAACGCUAAUACCGCAUACGUCCUACGGGAGAAAGCAGGGGACCUUCGGGCCUUGCGCUAUCAGAUGAGCCUAGGUCGGAUUAGCUAGUUGGUGAGGUAAUGGCUCACCAAGGCGACGAUCCGUAACUGGUCUGAGAGGAUGAUCAGUCACACUGGAACUGAGACACGGUCCAGACUCCUACGGGAGGCAGCAGUGGGGAAUAUUGGACAAUGGGCGAAAGCCUGAUCCAGCCAUGCCGCGUGUGUGAAGAAGGUCUUCGGAUUGUAAAGCACUUUAAGUUGGGAGGAAGGGCAGUAAGUUAAUACCUUGCUGUUUUGACGUUACCAACAGAAUAAGCACCGGCUAACUUCGUGCCAGCCGCCGCAGUAACAC
rnacentral:rRNA from 1 species